UACAGAGGGUGCGAGCGUUAAUCGGAAUUACUGGGCGUAAAGCGCGCGUAGGCGGCUUUGCAAGUCGGGUGUGAAAUCCCCAGGCUUAACCUGGGAACUGCAUUCGAGACUGCAUUGCUAGAGUGUGGGAGAGGGAAGUGGAAUUUCCGGUGUAGCGGUGAAAUGCGUAGAUAUCGGAAGGAACAUCAGUGGCGAAAGCGACUUCCUGGACCAAUACUGACGCUCAUGUGCGAAAGCGUGGGGAGCAAACAGG
rnacentral:rRNA from 1 species